UACGUAGGGCGCAAGCGUUGUCCGGAAUCAUUGGGCGUAAAGAGCGUGUAGGCGGUCCGGUAAGUCCGCUGUGAAAGUCGGGGGCUCAACCCUCGAAUGCCGGUGGAUACUGUCGGGCUAGAGUGCGGAAGAGGCGAGUGGAAUUCCUGGUGUAGCGGUGAAAUGCGCAGAUAUCAGGAGGAACACCUAUUGCGAAGGCAGCUCGCUGGGACGUAACUGACGCUGAGACGCGAAAGCGUGGGGAGCAAACAGG
rnacentral:rRNA from 1 species